GCCCUUGUAGCUCAGCGGACAGAGCAGCUGCCUUCUAAGCAGACGGUCGGGGGUUCGAGUCCCUCCAGGGGCG
rnacentral:tRNA from 1 species